rnacentral:rRNA from 1 species
UACGUAGGGUGCGAGCGUUAAUCGGAAUUAUUGGGCGUAAAGAGCUCGUAGGCGGUGUGUCACGUCGGCCGUGAAAACCUGCAGCUUAACUGUGGGCGUGCGGUCGAUACGGGCAUCACUGGAGUUCGGCAGGGGAGACUGGAAUUCCUGGUGUAGCGGUGAAAUGCGCAGAUAUCAGGAGGAACACCGGUGGCGAAGGCGGUUCUCUGGGCCGUACCUGACGCUGAGGAGCGAAAGCGUGGGGAGCGAACGGG